rnacentral:rRNA from 1 species
CACGCCCUAAACGAUGUCAACUAGUCGUUCGGAGCAGCAAUGCACUGAGUGACGCAGCUAACGCGUGAAGUUGACCGCCUGGGGAGUACGGCCGCAAGGUUAAAACUCAAAGGAAUUGACGGGGACCCGCACAAGCGGUGGAUGAUGUGGAUUAAUUCGAUGCAACGCGAAAAACCUUACCUACCCUUGACAUGUCUGGAACCUUGGUGAGAGCCGAGGGUGCCUUCGGGAGCCAGAACACAGGUGC